CGCGGGGAGCGCUCGGCGCGGAGCGGGCGUUGCGGGGUCGCCGGGAGCCGGGCAGAUCUUGAUGGUUAUGGCAAAAUCUUUCUUCAGCUUAUGGUAUAAUGGACUACCAGUUGGAUGAUUUACAGUCGUCUGAAACAUGAUAUAUGCUUCUCCUCUUCCGUGUCCAUGCCUACAUGCUGACGCAGUAUCAGUUUUGUUUCCAAAAGAGGAGUUCACAGAAUUACACAGUGUCUGAUCCAACUAGCCGUUCUGAUGAUCCUCACUGGACCAUG